rnacentral:rRNA from 1 species
GAUGAACGCUGGCGGCGUGCCUAAUACAUGCAAGUCGAGCGAACAGACGAGGAGCUUGCUCCUCUGACGUUAGCGGCGGACGGGUGAGUAACACGUGGAUAACCUACCUAUAAGACUGGGAUAACUUCGGGAAACCGGAGCUAAUACCGGAUAAUAUAUUGAACCGCAUGGUUCAAUAGUGAAAGACGGUUUUGCUGUCACUUAUAGAUGGAUCCGCGCCGCAUUAGCUAGUUGGUAAGGUAACGGCUUACCAAGGCAACGAUGCGUAGCCGGCCUGAGAGGGUGAUCGGCCACACUGGAACUGAGACCCGGUCCAGACUCCUACGGGAGGCAGCAGUAGGGAAUCUUCCGCAAUGGGCGAAAGCUUGACGGAGCAACGCCGCGUGAGUGAUGAAGGUCUUCGGAUCGUAAAACUCUGUUAUUAGGGAAGAACAAAUGUGUAAGUAACUAUGCACGUCUUGACGGUACCUAAUCAGAAAGCCACGGCUAACUACGUG